rnacentral:misc_RNA from 1 species
AUUACGGCGCUUGGAAUCACAGAACUCGGAUUACCUGCUUUACCUGAAUAGUUAUAUUAUUACUUAUUAUUUAAUCCAUCAUCAAAUUAGAAGAACAAUAGAAUAUUCUACUAACAAAACUGGUAUAACAUUUGUGGAACGUUUUAUACUUCGAACCUUCUAUUAUAUAAUAUCAGCCACAUUUCGAGUAGAUAAUAUAACAAAUCCGUAUCAAUUACCUUUAGAAUUCAUAUUUGGUAAGUUUUUAUUAUCUAUAUCAUUUAUUCUUAUCAAUAAGAAUGUAUUUUGUUAAUGUUAAAUAUAUUCGGGUAUUAACAGAACAAAAGGGCGCUAGUACGAUAACAUGAGUGUAUUUCUAUCAAUAUAUAGAUAAAAUGAAAUGUCAAUUACAAUUUCAUCAAUUAAAAUAGAUAAACUAUAUAGAUAUAUAUAUAUAUCUGUUGAAUUUUUUCGCCCUAUUCUAACACAUAUGAAAUAUUUAAAUCAAUUUCAUUUUUAUAUUAGAUAAUAAGAAAAUAUAUCAAACUAAGUGGUAUAAACUACAUUUAUUUAUUAUAUACUGUAUACGCAGAGUUUUUUAUUUAUUAAUAUAAUUCCAAUAGAGCAAGAGGGCAAAAAAGUGCUUCAUUAUAAAUUAUUUAGCAUCUAUAGGUGGUCCUUUAAAGCAAAACUACGUUUCUUUUCUUUAUCAAUUUUUGAAACUGCACAGAAAGAGAGAGAGAGAGAGAUUAAGUGAGUGAAUGAGAAUGAGUGGGAGGAAAGAAGGAAAAGAAAACGAAGGAAAGAUACAGACAUAAAGAAAGAGAGGAGACAGGCAGACACAAAAAAAACAUUAUCCUCUAUUUCCAUUAAAUCUCUUCCCUUAUAUGUUCACUUAAAUUUUAUAGUUUCUUUUAAAGCAACUACGAUAAAAGAAAAAUGUAUAUAAGGCCUAUAAUUUUGAGAGUACGAGGAAAGAGACUAUACCUACACUGUGUAAAUCUAGUGCGAUUAAAUAGUCCUCUUUAAGUGCUAAAGCAUUUAUAUAUAAACUAUCGGACUAGAGUGAAGAGGGAAUGAUAACCGGGAGCUUGUCAUUCUUCAGGUAUAACUUGAUAAAUCGAAGAAAAUGAGCAGAAGAGCAAGUUUAUUAUUAAAAGAAGAGCAAGAGCAGCCAGAAGGUUCGAGUAAAAAUAAGACAGCGAGAGUUCGUUUUCCGGAUGAGUUGGUUUUUCUGGAUAAUAUAAAAGAAAAUGAUGUUCAAGCCAUGGAUAGGAUGUUACGAAGGGCUAGUUUAAAAAUGGAUAUUAAUAGUAUGUCUAGCUCAGGAAUGACGGCUUUACACCAGGCGGUCGUCGAUGGAAAUUUUCAGGCUGUUAGGCUUCUAAUCAGACACGGAGCUGAUGUUAAUAAAACCGAUGAAGAUACAUGGACACCCCUGCACGCAGCCUGUGCAAAUGGACACGUCGACAUUGCCAGAUUUCUUAUUCAAAAAGGAGCCGAUAAAAACAUUAAGAACGAAGAUGGUGAGAGACCAAUCGAUUUAGUAGAUUCAUCGGAUUUUGCCAUGAUUAAAGUCGUAUUAGAGUGAAUCCAACAUAAAAAACUUAAUAGUCCUUCCUGAAAUAAAAACUGAUUGUUAGUAAUAUAAUUAAAAAAAAAAACUCAAUUAUAUUACAGAAUCUUUCCUCAUUAUAAUAUUAAUUAUUAAAAUUUCUCUGUUAUAAUGCUAGGCACUAGGAAGUUUGUUGUAAAGUCAAAUAAGGACUAGUUUAAAGAAAAUAAUAAAUAAAAAAAAAAAUAAAAAAUCAAUAUUUUUAUAAAUUCAUCAAUUUUCUCUAGGCCUAAUUCCUUAAAAAAUUUACCGACUAAUUAUAGUAGAAAAAGUCUAACGAAAAUUUAUGAUCAAAGAAGAGAGAGACAUGCAAUGUUUAAAAAGGAUAUUUAUCAUCUUUUAUACUCAAUUUUCAAUUGUCAAUUAUUAGUAAGAAAUAAAGUAAAAAUGGACUAGAGCGCUAGAUAACUAAUUAUAUUUCCUCUUUCUUUUCAUUUGUCUGUUCUAUUCACGCAAUAAAUAAGAUGUAAUAGAAAACAAUGAUUAAUAAAAAAAUGAAAGAAAGAAAGGUAGAGGAAGUAUAAAAAAGGAAACAUAAGAAGAAGAAGUAGCAGAAGAAGAAAAGAGAGAAAAAAUCUAUGAUAAAGAAAAGAUAAAAGAGAAAAAAAGAGAAAAAAAAAAUAAAAUUUUACAAAUAUAUAUCAAGCAAUUAAAUAAAAAGAAAACGAAUUGAAAAGAGGGAUAGUACUCGGGGUUUUGAGUUAUGGCUUUUCAUAAAAUUUUAGUCGACGUUGCACAGACUUGUCAAAAAAUAUUUCAUUUGACGUAUAAUAAAAAAAGAAUAGUUUAUUAAUGUGAA